rnacentral:lncRNA from 1 species
GUAGACCAUCCUUCUCAAGUAUCUGAACCCAAGGAACUGGUCCGCCUCAAGCAUCAUCCAAAUUACGAUAAUGACACCCAUCCAAGUCACAAGAAAGGGACAUGACACGUGACAAUCAGCCUCCCUUGGGAGGAGUUUACAUUUGACACCCAAUAAUGUAACACAUAGUACAACAGUGUAGUAAAGUUCUCGCAUAUAUAUCUGUCGUCUGGCCUUGCUUCCUUAAUAACGCAUAAUUUAAUCUCCAUAAAGAAUCUUCUAGCAACAUGUAGCCGUUUGAAUUGUAGAUGAAGAGGUUGAGGGAGAUAGUCUUCGAGGACUAUUGGUCAUCCGAAGAGGAAGAAGACGACGAUGAAUUUAAGACCGUUUUAGGCAUGGUUUUGAAUGAUGAUAUUCAGCGGCCUAGGAGAGGAUCACAUUUUGGUCGCAUACACAUCAGUCGUGAUAGAGUGAAGGGUCAUGCAAAGAUAAUGAGAGACUACUCCGGAGAAGUACUUUCGUCGAUGCUUUCGGAUGCACACAAGUCUUUUUCUGACCAUUGCAAAAGCCGUUGAGAGGUAUGAUGAGUGGUUCAAGCUCCGGAGAAGCUGGACCCUUCAUGAAAAGGACUAUUGAAUUUAAAUGGGAUAUUAUUGAGAGAAUUAAACGCAACUCUGAAGAUUGAGAAAUCAACAAAGGUAAUGAGUCGGGUAUACAUCUUGAAUUUGAUUGUGUUAAGUCUUUUAUAGACAGAUGUUCUUCAUAAGCUUAGUGCGAAAUAUGGACUUGAUUCUGAGAUAAAAACCACUUUUUGUGAAUCAUUUGUUGCUCAUGUUGAUCUCCCUAAAGAGAAGUGGUUUAAAUUUCACCCACCUAUUGAAAUUUUUGAAGAACCAAUCAAUGCUAAAACUGAAACAAUUGCUUAUACUGCUAAUCCUGUUGUGCCUACUGCUUAUAUUGAGAGGUGUCCUUUCCCUGUUAGGAUUAAGGAACAUGCUAAGGCCACAACUGUGAUUCAUAGAAGUAAUACUAGAGCAAGUGGAGAGAUAAGUGCAAGCCCACUGAUGAAAUGCAUUGCGGCUGUUCGAAUCUUGGCAUAUGGGUGUUCGGCCGAUGCAAUUGACGAGUACGACCGCAUUGGUGAAGACACAAUUUUAAAGGUUGUUUGAAGGUUCACUAAAGCAGUGAUCGUUGUUUUUGGCCCGGAGUACUUGAGAGCACUCACAGAGGAAGAUACCUUGAGGCCGAUGACAAAGAGUGAAGCAAGAGGGUGGCUAGGGAUGCUUGGAUGUAACGCCCCGAGACCGAUGUGCCAGGUGUCGUCCAGUUAUUCGCUGUUGUUGCGUUGUCAUUGCUUGCGUGUCAUGCAUCUCAUAUCAUGUCAUCAUGUGCAUUGCAUCAUCAUGUUUUCAAAACUUGCAUCCGCCCAGGUCUCCUCGUUCUCUCCGUUGUCCGUUCUGAGCCCAGACUCACUUGCACGCGCCCGCGACACGUCCGAAAUAUUAUUUUAUUAGUGGCCGGAAAAUGUUCUCGGAAUGGGAUGAAAGUUGGCGUGUGGUGUUGUUUUGUUGCUAGUAGGCCGCCUGCCAAGUUUCAUCGCAUUCGGAGUCCGUUUGACGCCCCAACGGAUAACUAUAGCGGCAGUAUAGCCGGUCUAACGUCGGACGUUUUCGGUCUCCGGAAACCGUGCCAGGCUGCAUCUCUCCCCUCUUCUCUUAGACCAAUCCGCUCUUCACAAUCCGCCAGACCCAACCUAACCUCUCUCGCCAGCCGGCGACCCUGCUCGCGCGCGCGUCCGAAAGUUGUCCCAGACCCGACCCGAGCAGUCGUCACCGUUGGGUCCAGAUCAUCCCCAAACGUCUACAAAACGUCACCGUUUUCCUAUUUGGACUCCCUAGCUAUUUUAUUCGCGAUCGUCCGAUUACGAUCGGAGGGUUCCGUUAGCCCCUAACCUAACCCACCAGCGUAUAUAAUGGGCAACCCUAGGAAUUAGGGAUCCUGUCCCAUCCUAACAUCCAUCCAAUCCAUCCCCGCCGCCACUCUCUUUGUUUUCAGCGCCCAACCAACCACCAAGCCGAUCCGAUCCAUCCCGAGCCAACCCGCAGCCGCCAUUCCUCUCCUGGAUCUCCUCUCUCCUUCGCGCAGCCAGCCAGAGCCCUUCCUCCUCCCUUGUCUCAGCAGGAGUCCGAGUCUUCGCCUUGUGCCACGUCACCGCCCGCAAGCUUCGCCGGAGAUGAGCACCGACGCCCCCUUCUUCUCCUUCCCAUGCUCCUCUCGUUUCCCUCUCUGAACCCUUUGCUUUCUGCCCAUCUGCUGCAGGAGCAGCUACGCCCUGGGAAGGAGCACGCCAGGCGCCAUGGCCGCCGAAGGGACUUCGCCGCCUCACUGAAUCCACACCUCCACCUCUCCCUUGCGUCAAGGUCGCCAUCCCUGCCGGACCUGCAGGACGCCAAGUCCAACACCAUGGGCGCCUCCUCUGCCUGACCCCGUCUCUGUCUUGACUUCGCCGUGCUCCUCCCCUGCCCCGAGCCUCUGCCGCGACUAGCACCCGACCAGCAGGUCGCCAGCGCGCCCGAGUCCUCCUGCCUCGCUCGUUCUGGACCAGGAGGGUCCCGGGCAUCUCCGCCGUCGCCGUCUCAGUUGAGCGCCGCCCUGGUUCCCUUUCUCGCCUUCCUUCGGUCCCCUCAUCUCAUCUCCCUCUCUCUGAUUUGUGUGGCACCGCUGCCGUUUUGCAGAGAAACUGCCGCCAUGGAGCUCCAACUCCGGCCACCUCGUCUCCUCGGAUCCGUCGGGUCCCGACCAUCCCCUUCGUUGCCGGACUCCUCAGCUAGCCGGAGCCCCGUUGCCGCGCCGUCCGUCUUCUGCAUCGUCAUGGCCUGCUGCUGUUUCUGUUCUUCAGAAACGAAACGAGAGCAGCAGCGGCUCGCUCGUUCAAGCGUUGACCGUGGCCUGCCCAGCUCCUUCGCCUCCUGGGCCACCAGCUACCGCCCCAAGCCGGCCUGCUUCCUUCCCGAUCCGAGCUGGCCCAGUCAAGCCCGAUGUGAGCAGCUCCCCAGCCCCUCUCAGUUUCGGCCCGAGUCACUAUUUUUUUUCCUGUGAACGAUUUGUCUAUUUAUCCUGAGAGUGACAGAAUUGCAGUAAAGCCCUCAAACUUCAUGCAUUUUAUUACUCACAAAGAGUGCAUCAUAUUAAAACAAACUUAAUAUGAAAGUUGCUUAGAAUUUUGUCUAGUUUCAUAAUAUGCAACUUUAACCCAUGUUUAAAAUGCUUAAAAUGUUGUUUGACUAAUUUUUGCUCAUAUGCCAUGUUAAAAUGAUUUAAUUCAUAACUAAAUAACCUUAACUCGGAUUUUAUUAAACCUUAUAUGUAAAUGGGGUAGAAAAAUGCCUAGUUUAACAUGAUGCACUCACCUAGCAUGUUUAACAACUCUAAAAUUAUGUUUAGGGCAGAAUAGUAACAAACCUAAUAUAUGCAUAUGAGGAGUUUCCGGACUUGUUGUUUUGUUGUUCCGACCUCAUUUAAACUUGCCUAGAUUAGAUAGUUUCAUCAUGUUUCACCUCUUGCCAUGCUAACAACAUUUAAUCUUGUUGAGUACAUAAAACGAGAGAGAACUAAAUAAGGCAUGUGGUGUUCCGUCAAUAUGCAACUUGUUGCAUAUUGAGCUCCACUUAACUUGUAGUGUUGUUUGUGCACUUUGCCAUGCCAUGCCUCUUUAAACCGGACAUGCAUCAUACUUGAUUGUGCAUCAUGCCAUGAUUAUGUGAUGGUUGUUUACUAUAUCGUGUGCUUCUUUCCGGUGUUGCUUCUUCGGGUUGGUUCCGAUAACGUCGUGUUGUGAGGACCCGUUCGACUACGUCCGUUUGUCUUCUUCAUGGACUCAUUCUUCUUCCUUGCAGGAUUUCAGGCAAGAUGACCAUACCCUCGAAAUCACUUCUAUCUUUGCUUGCUAGUUGCUCGCUCUUUUGCUAUGCCUAUGCUGCGAUACCUACCACUUGUUUAUCAUGCCUCCUAUAUUGUUGAACCAAGCCUCUAACCCACCUUGUCCUAGCAAACCAUUGUUUGGCUAUGUUACUGCUUUGCUCAGCCCCUCUUAUAGCGUUGUUAGUUGCAGGUGAAGAUUGAAGUUUGUUCCUCUUGGGGAACGUUGCAGAAAACAAAAAAUUUCCUACGGUUUCACCAAGAUCCAUCUAUGAGUUCAUCUAGCAACGAGUGAUUGGAUUGCAUCUACAUACCUUUGUAGAUCACGCUUGGAAAUGUUCAAAGAACGGGGAUGAGGAAGUCGUACUCGAUGUGAUCCAAAUCACCGGAGAUCCUAGCGCCGAACGGACGGCACCUCCGCGUUCAACACACGUACAGUCAGCGUAACAUCUCCUCCUUCUUGAUCCAGCAAGGGGAAAGGAGAGGUUGAGGAAGAUGGCUCCCGUAGCAGCACGGCGGCGUGGUGGUGGUGGAGCUGCAGUACUCCGGCAGGGCUUCGCCAAGCUCUAUGAAGGAACAGGAGGUGUUGGAGAGGGAGAGGGAGGCACCAAAGGUGUAGGUAAGAAGCCCUCCCUCCCCCCACUAUAUAUAGGGGGCCUAGGGGGGGCGCCAGCCCUAGGAGAUCCAAUCUCCUAGGGGGGCGGCAGCCAAGGGGGGUGGAGUGCCCCCCAAGGCAAGUGGGGAGCCCCCCCCCCACCCUAGGGUUUUAACCCUAGGCGCAAGGGGUGGGCCUUGGGGGGCGCACCAGCCCACUAUGGGCUAGUUCCCCUCCCCACUUCAGCCCAUGGGGCCCUCCGGGAUGGGUGGCCCCACCCUGUGGACCCCCCGGGAUCCUUCCGGUGGUUCCGGUAUAAUACCGGUGACCCCGAAACUUGUCCCGAUAGCCGAAAUAGCACUUCCUAUAUAUAAUUCUUUACCUCCGGACCAUUCCGAAACUCCUCGUGACGUCCGGGAUCUCAUCCGGGACUCCGAACAACAUUCAGGUUACUGCAUAUACAUACCCCUUACAACCCUAGCGUCACCGAACCUUAAGUGUGUAGACCCUACGGGUUCGGGAGACAUGUAGACAUGACCAAGAUUGCUCUCCGGUCAAUAACCAACAGCGGGAUCUGGAUACCCAUGUUGGCUCCCACAUGCUCCUCGAUGAUCUCAUCGGAUGAACCACGAUGUCGAGGAUUCAAGCAACCCCGUAUACAAUUCCCUUUGUCAAUCGGUAUAUUACUUGCCCGAGAUUCGAUCGCCGGUAUCCCAAUACCUCGUUCAAUAUCGUUACCGGCAAGUCACUUUACUCGUACCGUAAUGCAUGAUCCCGUGACCAGACACUUGGUCACUUUGAGCUCAUAAUGAUGAUGCAUUACCGAGUGGGCCCAGUGAUACCUCUCCGUCAUACGGAGUGACAAAUCCCAGUCUUGAUCCGUGUCAACCCAACAGACACUUUCGGAGAUACCCGUAGUAUACCUUUAUGGUCACCCAGUUACGUUGUGACGUUUGGUACACCCAAAGCACUCCUACAGUAUCCGGGAGUUACACGAUCUCAUGGUCCAAGGAAAAGAUACUUGACAUUGAAAAACUCUAGCAAACGAACUAUACGAUCUUGUGCUAUGUUUAGGAUUGGGUCUUGUCCAUCACAUCAUUCUCCUAAUGAUGUGAUCUCGUUAUCAUUGACAUCCAAUGUCCAUAGUCAGGAAACCAUGACUAUCUGUUGAUCAACGAGCUAGUCAACUAGAGGCUUACUAGGGACAUGUUGGUGUCUAUUUAUUCACACAUGUAUUACGAUUUCCGGAUAACACAAUUAUAGCAUGAAUAAAAGACAAUUAUCAUGAACAAGGAAAUAUAAUAAUAAUGCUUUUAUUAUUGCCUCUAGGGCAUAUUUCCAACAGUCUCCCACUUGCACUAGUCAAUAAUCUAGUUACAUUGUGAUGAAUCGAACACCCAUGGAAUCACUACACCACGCACCAUAAUUCCCUACUGAUGUCUGUUGAGAAAAAGUCACUAUUGCCGACCCACAGUCGGCUAGAAAAAUUUCUAACAGACUGUGGGUCGGGAAACCCGUGUACACUAACUCGUUGUCGGUCGGGAAUGGUACAACAUAUAUCAUCCAACGGUUGGUCGGGGAUUCUAUUAUGGCCCAUCGAACAUCGGUCGGUAAAUAACCCCGACUGACAGUUGGACGCUAAAGUGGGCCUCGUGAGCCCAAAAUUUUUAGCGCCAAACCGGCCCAACCCGCGAAGUUUCCCCCCUCAAAAUCAGGAUGCCGCCGCCCCACGCUCCAUUCGUUCCCCACCAACAAAAUCCCUAGAUCUCUCCUGUUGCUCCCCACGCACGCCGGCGCCCACGCCUCCGACCGCCGCCCCGCGCCGCCCGGGGCUACCGCCGGUCUAUCCCACCGCUGCCCCACGCCGCCCUUCCUCUGUAGCACCGCCCCACGCUGCCCUUCCUCUGUAGCACCGCCCCACGCUGCCCUGUCCCUACAGCGCAGCCCAACUCCGUCCCGCCUCUCUCCGCCGCCGGCUCCACACCCUCGUGAUCUCUCUCCGGUUGGCCGCCUCUUUCCAACAUCCCGGGCCCGACCUCCCCAUCUCCACCUUCCAGCUCACGAAGACACACGCAGCGGCAAAUUUGGAUGGGGGCAGCGUGCGCCUGGGCAAGGGCAUCUCUCUCUGUCUUUGGCUGGGCAGGGGCACAGAAGCGGCUGAGGUACAAGCUCCUCCCUCCAUACAUUCCUCUGUCUUUGGUCCAGUUAUUUUGCCGCAUCAAUUUUGUAUUACAAAGUUUGUUAAGAGAUGAACUGGGAGUGAAGGAGUUUGUUGUGGAUGACUCCGUUAUUUGCCCCUUCAGUACUCUGUUGGUAGACGCUGUUUAUGUAGAUUUAAUAUUUUUUAUAGUACUGAGUUAUGUUAGAUUUAAUUUUUAUUACAGUACUAAGUUCUGUUGGCAGCCUGCAGCUUCUUUGUCAAAAAAUGUGAAAAUAACUUGGUUCUCUCGAAAGUGAAGCUUCUUUGUAGCACCAAUGGAUGUGUUUCUAGUGUUUGUGCUGCUCCAGCUAAUCACAUUUCUGGGAUGAGUUCACGACAAUGGCGCGUCAGCAUACCGCCAUCCAACUGCCCAAAUACUCAACUUUUUCUUACAGAAAUCUUCUUCAUGCUUUACUUUCUUACUGAAUUUUUCUUCAUGCCGCCCAAGAAAAACAACAGAACAAUAGUUCUUACUUCCUUGAAAGAUGGCUCAAGACAAACAUAGACAGCCUUGUGACAUGGUUGUCUUGCUUUCCUUGUUUCACUUCAUUUUAGUGUACACCACUUUGCUGGAGAACCACAUCCAGCCGGAGGAAAGAACCAUGGAAUCACAAUGCAGAACUCCCGCUGCAUAGUUCUUGCUUCCCGCCUCUCAAAGAAAAGGACCUGGCCCACAAUGGCCUGAAUCAAGCUCAUCUUGAAUCUUGGUAUCAUAUAGACAUAUAGAUAGGUUUAUUAUUGUCAUGUUUCCCUGCAAGCAACUACAACCAAAAUUAACCUAGAAACUAACACUAUGCAGACUGAUUAUGCUGCAUACAAAAGAUAUUGUGGAUUAGUAUAUGCAUUUCUUGUUAUAAAUAUUUUUCCAUUUGUUGUUAUAAAUAUUUUUCCUAUACAAAUUCCAAAGGACCAGAGCAGUCACCAUGAUUGUCAAAUUUCCUUCAAUGCCAAGGUCAAAUAUUGUGUGGAAACAUUUAUGAUGCAAUAAUCACUUCUGCUACUGAAACUUUGCAUCUGACCGGACUAUACAGUGCCAAGAUGUCCUCCAUGGGGUGGGGUAAUAUAACUGGUGGCACAAACUUACUUUUACAACUAAGGGGCAAACAAUGGGCAUACGGGCCAAACAAUGGAUCGCAAUAGGAUGUAGCACAAGCCUCUCGGUUCUCUCUAUACAUAUGACCUGACAUUCAUCUCUCUCAUUUUUUCUGCAGUUAAACAGAGGACAACUGUUUGUAACAUUGAGCCGAUGAAGAGAAGUAGCAGAAUAUUCGACGCCACCUUAGUGCAUAAGGUGUGUGGAGUGUCCAAUGUUUAUUUUUUCUUUUAGUAUAUGAUUUUCUUGAUGUAGUGCCUCAUAAGUCUUGAGUUUGAUCCACUAAUAUUUUCUAUUUUCAGCGAUGUACUCAUAUAGUGUGUCUUUUGCUGGAGGAAAAAUGGCAAGCGCAAGCGGAAAAGCUAAAGAUGGUGGGGUCACGGAGGAACAACUGAAAGCAUUUGAGUAUAAAUACAGAAAAGUAGGACCAGAGAACAAAAUGAAGCAAGUCAUCCUGCUGAAUCAAAACUAUAGUAUAUCCAUCCACAUAUCCUAACUGUAGUAUAUCCCUGCAGCACACUCUGUUAUGGGCAUAAAUAAACACAUAUGCAUGUAUUCAUUAUCAAAACACAAACAAUAUAUAUGAUAACAAAACAGUAGGCAGUGAUGUUGUCAACAUGUCUAGUCAUCAUAAAUCUCCUUACCUUUUUUCUUAUAGUCUCGCAGUGCUAUCACCAAAAAGAAUCGCUCCAAUGAAGUGCCUCAUACAUCCGGGAGCAAGAGUCACAAACAAUAUAUAUAUAUAUAUAUAUAUAUAUAUAUAUAUAUAUAUAUAUAUAUAUAUAUAUAUGUGAUAAUUUUCUUGUAGCCUCCUAGAUCUUCUUGUGAGGUUGUUGUCAAUGUUGUGAUCACAAGGGAUGCAACACUGCCUUAUGAAUAUGAUGGUUUACGAUUUGUCGCCGAUGCUAUCACAAGGUCCAUUGCAUGGCCAUCUAGCAAGGUAAUCACCAACAAUAUGUGUUUUGUCUACUUGGCUCAAAUUGUUUGACGUGUCAUACUGAUUCAUGAUCACUUUGGUAGAUGAAACCCUACAAGCCAGGGGCAUCUUCCUCAUCCCACCACUAAGGUAUUUAUGUGAUUCACUAUUUAUGUGAUCAUGCUGUUAUCAUGACCACUUGGUACUGUACAAGAGCUUCUUCUUGGUGCUCCCUAGCUAGCUCAAAGUGCAUGAAGAGUGCAUCAUGUAAUCUGGUCAUCAUGGAAUUUAUCAUGGAAUCCUAGCUCAAAGUGAAUGAAGGUUCCAUGAUGACCAGAUUCCAUAAGUUAAUCUGGACAUAAGUUUGUUGUGGAAUCCUUGCUGCUAGUUAUGUAGUAAUAGUUGCUUCCCUAUGUUCAUUUAGGCACAGUUUGGAUGCAAAGUUUUUUUAAUAGCACAGUUUCUGUAAAAAAAACUGCACUUUUGAAAAUACUUUGAUGUGUUUGGUCCAAGUAUAUACCAUGGUUCUACAAAUUGUAAUAUCCCCAAUGUAUCUAUUGCUGCCAGCAGGAACAUAGCAUUAUGUUUUUUGUGUCCAUGCAUCUAUUGCUGCCACCAGGAAGAUAGCAACAUCCCUUUUAGUACCAUUCAAUUUUAUGGCCACUACUGAAGAGUAAACAAAGAUAAUUGAAAUACUGUACUUCUCACAUGGAUAGAAAACACCAGUAAGGUGUAUCUCUAAUACUUAGCUAUAUGGUACCAGUUCCCUAGAAAACAAGUUAUAUGCCCACAUAGCUCUAGCUCUUUCUUGUGUUUAAGAAAUAAAAAUUACAUUUCAAUUACGCCUCUUAAACCACCCUCCGUGUUAAUCUUGUCUGAGGUAUUCUCUUACAGAAAGUCAAGUCAAACAUCAACAGAUGACAGAUGCAUGUGAAACCUAUAGUCUGGACUUCCCUUCGCUUUUUAUGUCUCAUAUUCUUUCUCUCUUGCACAUCUCUGAUGGUGGUGGAAAGACAACAUUUGUUUAUUUCAUUAUCGAUAAGAAAACGUGAGAAUAUAUCUUUUCUUCAUCAUCAUUGUCGAAAGGUUGCUAGUUCUUAGCUUCUUGUAGUUAUAACUAGACGAGUGUAGCAGUCAACAUAGCUACAGCUACAACAUUUGUUUAUGUUCCCUGUUAUGCAGCUUGACAUGAAUUAUUUUCAGUUUCACAGCAUAACAUAAAUCGUCAGUGCACAACAUUUUUUUAACCCUGUGAUAUAAAUCAUGUGAAGAUAGUCAUGAAAUGGUUUAAUCAUCCGAUUAUUUCUCAAAACUUAGGGUCGCGUCUCCUUGUCAACUUUGGUUAUUCUUAGUUUGACACUUUCGUAAGGAUCCGAAGUUUACAGGCCUGCAAAUCAAACUUAUUCACCUCAAAGUUAACUGGUUGUAUAUUAAUUCGGUUUCUAUGUUCCAUGCCUGAUGCUCUUUACUCUCAAGUUGAACAGGUAGUACAGUAGUACUCACUGAAAAGGAAAUUUCAUCCGCUUGCAUGUAUAUUAAUUGUAUGCUUUUUUGUCUUUCCAGGUUGCUGUCAGGUUGUGUACGGAAGACAAGAGGAACAAGAAGGAACCAUGAAGUUGUCAGUUUGCGUCAACUAGAUAUCUUUUGUAAUGGAGCAAAACCAAUGCAUCUUGUAGCUACCAUUUUGUAAAGGAUAUCUUGUAACGUAGCAAGCAUUGAACCGUGGGACAUGCAUCUAUCAUUUUAUAAACAUAUCGGGUGUUUCGGUCACCCAGGAAAAUGUUUCCUCUUAUUUAGUUACCUCUAUUAUGAGAAUUAUAAGUGUUAUUUUUGUUUGGUUCUGGUUUAAUAUUUGAGAGUACAUGCAAGUUAUUGUAACUUGAUAGAUAAUGAUGAGAUAUGUAAUCUGAUUGAUAUUGUUUUGAUAAUGUAAUAUGCCAAACACCAUUGGCAAAGUGCAGAUGAACUGUCGGUCGGCAAAAGGAAUCACCGUCCUACCGUUGGUCGGGAAAGGUUUAUGGAAGGGCCAAUGGAAAGUUGGUCGGCAAAGAUAUUGCCGUCAAAUAGUCGGUCGGGAAAGGUUUGUAAGAGAAAAUCGGUCGGGAAAGGUUCUUGGCAGGGCCAACAGAAAGUCGGUCGGUAAGUUUCGUAUAGCCAUCCGAUAGUCGGUCAGGAAAGAUAUGUCGGUCGGGAAAAGUCUUUCCUGUCUGGACUUUCCCCAACAGAUUGUGUUGGUCAGCAAAAGUCUUUCCCGACCGACUGUUUGUCAGCGGAAGUUGUUUUCCCAACCAAUCUGUCUGUUGGGAAAGUAGUGUCAUGGUGUAGUGAAUUCUGGUGUUGAUCAUGUUUUGCUCUAGGGAGAGGUUUAGUCAACAGAUCUGCUACAUUCAGGUCUGUAUGUACUUUACAAAUAUCUAUGUCUCCAUCUUGAACAUUUUCACGAAUGGAGUUGAAGCGACGCUUGAUGUGCCUUGUCUUCUUGUGAAACCUGGGCUCCUUGGCAAGUGCAAUAGCUCCAGUGUUGUCACAGAAGAGCUUGAUCGGCCCCUACGCAUUGGGUAUGACUCCUAGGUCGGUGAUGAACUCCUUCACCCAAAUUGCUUCAUGUGCUGCCUCCGAGGCUGCCAUGUACUCCGCUUCACAUGUAGAUCCCGCCACGACGCUCUGCUUGCAACUGCACCAGCUUACUGCCCCACCAUUCAAAAUAUACACGUAUCCGGUUUGUGACUUUGAGUCAUCCAGAUCUGUGUCGAAGCUAGCAUCGACGUAACCCUUUACGACGAGCUCUUCGUCACCUCCAUAAACGAGAAACAUUUCCUUAGUCCUUUUCAGGUACUUCAGGAUAUUCUUGACCGCUGUCCAGUGUUCCUUGCCGGGAUUACUUUGGUACCUUCCUACCAAACUUACGGCAAGGUUUACAUCAGGUCUGGUACACAGCAUGGCAUACAUAAUAGAACCUAUGGUUGAGGCAUAGGGGAUGACACUCAUCUCUUCUAUAUCUUCUGCCGUGGUCGGACAUUGAGCUGAGCUCAAUUUCACACCUUGUAACACAGGCAAGAACCCCUUCUUAGACUGAUCCAUAUUGAAUUUCUUCAAUAUCUUAUCAAGGUAUGUGCUUUGUGAAAGACCUAUGAGGCGUCUUGAUCUAUCUCUAUAGAUCUUGAUGCCUAAUAUAUAUGCAGCUUCUCCAAGGUCCUUCAUUGAAAAACUCUUAUUCAAGUAGGCCUUAAUGCUGUCCAAGAGUUCUAUAUCAUUUCCCAUCAAAAGUAUGUCAUCUACAUAUAAUAUGAGAAAUGCUACAGAGCUCCCACUCACUUUCUUGUAAACGAAGGUUUCUCCAUAAGUCUGCGUAAACCCAAACGCUUUGAUCAUCUCAUCAAAGCGAAUGUUCCAACUCCGAGAUGCUUGCACCAGCCCAUAAAUCGAGCGUUGGAGCUUGCACACCUUGUCAGUAUUCUUAGGAUCGACAAAACCUUCCGGCUGCAUCAUAUACAAUUCUUCCUUAAGGAAACCAUUAAGGAAUGCCGUUCUGACGUCCAUUUGCCAUAUCUCAUAAUCAUAGAAUGCGGCAAUUGCUAACAUGAUUCGGACGGACUUUAGCUUCGCUACCGGUGAGAAAGUCUCAUCAUAGUCAACCCCUUGAACUUGUCAGUAACCCUUAGCGACAAGCCGAGCUUUAUAGAUGGUCACAUUACCAUCCGUGUCUGUCUUCUUCUUAAAGAUCCAUUUAUUUUCUAUGGCUCGCCGCUCAACGGGCAAGUCUGUCAAAGUCCAUACUUCGUUUUCAUACAUGGAUCCUAUCUCGGAUUUCAUGGCUUCUAGCCAUUUGUCGGAAUCCGGGCCCGUCAUCGCUUCGUCAUAGUUCGAAGGUUCACCGUUGUCUAACAACAUGAUUUCCAAGACAGGGUUGCCGUACCACUCUGGUGCGGAACGUGUCCUUGUGGACCUACGAAUUUCAGUAGGAGCUUGAUCAGGAGUACCUUGAUCAUCAUCAUUAACUUCCUCUCUAGUCGGUGCAGGCACCUCAGGAACAUUUUCUUGAGUUGCGCCUUUUUCCGGUUCAAGAGGUAAUACUUCAUCAAGUUCUACUUUCCUCCCACUUGCUUCUUUCGAGAGAAACUCCUUCUCUAGAAAGGAUCCAUUCUUGGCAACAAAGAUCUUGCCUUCGGAUCUGAGGUAGAAGGUAUACCCAAUAGUUUCUUUAGGGUAUCCUAUGAAGACGCAUUUUUCUGACUUGGGUUUGAGCUUUUCUGGUUGAAGUUUCUUGACAUAAGCAUCGCAUCCCCAAACUUUUAGAAACGACAGCUUAGGUUUCUUCCCAAACCAUAAUUCAUACGGUGUCGUCUCAACGGAUUUCGACGGAGCCCUAUUUAAAGUGAACGCGGCAGUCUCUAAAGCAUAGCCCCAGAAAGAUAGCGGUAAAUCGGUAAGAGACAUCAUAGAUCGCACCAUAUCUAAUAGAGUGCGAUUACGACGUUCGGACACACCAUUACGCUGAGGUGUUCCAGGCGGCGUGAGUUGUGAAACUAUUCCACAUUUUCUUAAGUGUGUGCCAAAUUCGUGACUCAAGUAUUCUCCUCCAUGAUCUGAUCGCAAAAACUUGAUUUUUCUGUCACGUUGAUUCUCAACCUCACUCUGAAAUUCCUUGAACUUUUCAAAGGUUUCAGACUUGUGUUUCAUUAAGUAGACAUACCCAAUCUACUCAAGUCAUCAGUGAGGGUGAGAACAUAACGAUAGCCACCGCGAGCCUCAACGCUCAUUGGACUGCACACAUCAGUAUGUAUGAUUUCCAAUAAGUUGGUUGCUCGCUCCAUUGUUCCUGAGAAUGGAGUCUUGGUCAUUUUACCCAUGAGGCAUGGUUCGCACGUGUCAAAUGAUUCAUAAUCAAGAGACUCUAAAAGUCCAUCUGCAUGGAGCUUCUUCAUGCGUUUGACACCUAUGUGACCAAGGCGGUAGUGCCACAAGUAUGUGGGACUAUCAUUAUCAACCUUACAUCUUUUGGUAUUCACACUAUGAACAUGUGUAGCAUUACGCUCGAGAUUCAUUAAGAAUAAACCAUUCACCAUCGGAGCAUGACCAUAAAACAUAUCUCUCAUAUAAAUAGAACAACCAUUAUUCUCGGAUUUAAAAGAGUAGCCAUCUCGAAUUAAACGAGAUCCUGAUACAAUGUUCAUGCUCAAAGCUGGCACUAAAUAACAAUUAUUAAGGUUUAAAACUAAUCCCGAAGGGAGAUGCAGAGGUAGCGUGCCGACGGCGAUCACAUUGACCUUGGAACCAUUCCCGACGCGCAUCGUCAUCUCGUCCUUUGCCAGUUUCCGCUUAUUCCGCAGCCCCUGCUUUGAGUUACAAAUGUGAGCAACUGCACCGGUAUCAAAUACCCAGGAGCCACUACGGGCACUAGUAAGGUACACAUCAAUUACAUGUAUAUCACAUAUACCUUUGGUUUUGCCGGCCUUCUUAUCCGCUAAGUACUUAGGGCAGUUCCGCUUCCAAUGACCGCUUCCCUUGCAAUAAAAGCACUCAGUCUCGGGCUUGGGUCCAUUCUUUGGCUUCUUCCCGGCAGCUUGCUUGCCGGGCGCGGCAACCUCCUUGCCGUCCUUCUUGAAGUUCUUUUUACCCUUGCCUUUCUUGAACUUAGUGGUUUUAUUGACCAUCAACACUUGAUGUUCCUUCCUGACUUCUACCUCUGCUGAUUUCAGCAUAGCAAAUACUUCAGGAAUGGUCUUUUCCAUCCCCUGCAUAUUGAAGUUCAUCACAAAGCUCUUGUAGCUUGGUGGAAGCGACUGGAGGAUUCUGUCAAUGACCGCAUCAUCCGGGAGAUUAACUCCCAGCUGAGUCAAGCGGUUAUGUAACCCAGACAUAGUGAGUAUGUGCUCACUGACAGAACUAUUUUCCUCCAUCUUACAGCUGAAGAAUUUGUCGGAGACUUCAUAUCUCUCGACCCGGGCAUGAGCUUGAAAAACCAUUUUCAGCUCUUCGAACAUCUCAUAUGCUCCAUGUCUCUCAAAACGCUUUUGGAGCCCCGGCUCUAAGCUGUAAAGCAUGCCGCACUGAACGAGGGAGUAGUCAUCAGCACGUGUCUGCCAAGCGUUCAUAACGUCUUGGUUCUGUGGGACGGGUGUGUCACCUAGCGGUGCUUGUAGGACAUAUUCUUUCUUGGCAGCUAUGAGGAUGAUCCUCAGGUUCCGGACCCAGUCCAUAUAGUUGCUGCCAUCGUCUUUCAGCUUGGUUUUCUCUAGGAACGCGUUGAAGUUGAGGACUACGUUGGCCAUCUGAUCUACAAGACAUAUUGUAAAUAUUUUAGACUAAGUUCAUGAUAAUUAAGUUCAUCUAAUGAAAUUAUUCAAUGAACUCCCACUUAGAUAGACAUCCCUCUAGGUAUCUAACUAUAACAUGAUCCGAGUUAACUAGGCCGUGUCCGAUCAUCACGUGAGACGGACUAGUCAACAUUGGUGAACAUCUUCAUGUUGAUCGUAUCUUCUAUACGACUCAUGCUCGACCUUUCGGUCUUCUGUGUUCCGAGGCCAUGUCUGUACAUGCUAGGCUCGUCAAGUCAACCUAAGUGUUUGCAUGUGUAAAUCUGUCUUACACCCGUUGUAUGUGAACGUUGGAAUCUAACACCUGAUCAUCACGUGGUGCUUCGAAACAACGAACUGUCGCAACGGUGCACAGUUAGGGGGAACACUUUCUUGAAAUUAUUAUGAGGGAUCAUCUUAUUUACUACGGUCGUUCUAAGUAAACAAGAUGUACAAAACAUGAUAAACAUCACAUGCAAUCAAAUAAUAAUAGUGACAUGAUAUGGCCAAUAUCACAUAGCUCCUUUGAUCUCCAUCUUGGGGCUCCAUGAUCAUCCUAUCACCGGCAUGACACCAUGAUCUCCAUCAUCAUGAUCUCCAUCAUCAUGAUCUCCAUCAUCGUGUCUCCAUGAAGUUGCUCGCCAACUAUUACUUCUACUACUAUGGCUAACACGUUUAGCAAUAAAGUAAAGUAAUUUACAUGGCAUUUCUCAAUGACACGCAGGUCAUACAAAAAAUAAAGACAACUCCUAUGGCUCCUGCCGGUUGUCAUACUCAUCGACAUGCAAGUCGUGAUUCCUAUUACAAGAACAUGAUCUCAUACAUAACAUAUAUAUAAUUCAUCACAACUUUGGACAUAUCACAUCACAGAAUACUUGCUGCAAAAACAAGUUAGACGUCCUCUAAUUGUUGUUGCAAGUUUUACGUGGCUGAAAUAGGGUUCUAGCAAGAACGUUUUCUUACCUACGUGAAAGCCACAACGUGAUUUGUCAACUUCUAUUUACCCUUCAUAAGGACCCUUUUCAUCGAAUCCGCUCCAACUAAAGUGGGAGAGACAGACACCCGCCAGCCACCUUAUGCAACUAGUGCAUGUCAGUCGAUGGAACCGGUCUCAUGUAAGCGUACGUGUAAGGUUGGUCCGGGCCGCUUCAUCCCACAAUACCGUUGAAGCAAGAUAAGACUAGUAGCGGCAAGAAAGUUGACAACAUCUACGCCCACAACAAAUUGUGUUCUACUCGCGCAAGAAGAACUACGCAUAGACCUAGCUCAUGAUGCCACUCUUGGGGAACGUUGCAGAAAACAAAAAAUUUCCUACGGUUUCACCAAGAUCCAUCUAUGAGUUCAUCUAGCAAUGAGUGAUUGGAUUGCAUCUACAUACCUUUGUAGAUCACGCGCGGAAGCGUUGAAAGAACGGGGAUGAGGAAGUCGUACUCGACGUGAUCCAAAUCACCGGAGAUCCUAGCGCCAAACGGACGGCACCUCCGCGUUCAACACACGUACGGUCAGCAUAACGUCUCCUCCUUCUUGAUCCAGCAAGGUGAAAGGAGAGGUUGAGGAAGAUGGCUCUAGCAGCAGCACGACAGCGUGGUGGUGGUGGAGCUGCAGUACUCCGGCAGGGCUUUGCCAAGCUCUAUGGAGGAAGAGGAGGUGUUGGAGAGGGAGAGGGAGGCACCAAAGGUGUAGGUAAGAAGCCCUCCCUCCCCCCACUAUAUAUAGGGGGCCUAGGGGGGGCGGCGGCCAAGGGGGGUGGAGUGCCCCCCAAGGCAAGUGGGGAGCCCCCCCCCCCACCCUAGGGUUUUAACCCUAGGCGCAAGGGGUGGGCCUUGGGGGGCGCACCAGCCCACUAUGGGCUUGUUCCCCUCCCCACUUCAGCCCAUGGGGCCCUCCGGGAUGGGUGGCCCCACCCGGUGGACCCCCCGGGAUCCUUCCGGUGGUCCCGGUACAAUACCGGUGACCCCGAAACUUGUCCCGAUAGCCGAAAUAGCACUUCCUAUAUAUAAUUCUUUACCUCCGGACAUUCCGAAACUCCUCGUGACGUCCAGGAUCUCAUCCGGGACUCCGAACAACAUUCGGGUUACUGCAUAUACAUAUCCCUUACAACCCUAGUGUCACCGAACCUUAAGUGUGUAGACCCUACGGGUUCGGGAGACAUGUAGACAUGACCGAGAUUGCUCUCCGGUCAAUAACCAACAGCGGGAUCUGGAUACCCAUGUUGGCUCCCACAUGCUCCUCGAUGAUCUCAUCGGAUGAACCACGAUGUCGAGGAUUCAAGCAACCCCGUAUACAAUUCCCUUUGUCAAUCGGUAUGUUACUUGCCCGAGAUUCGAUCGUCGAUAUCCCAAUACCUCGUUCAAUCUCGUUACUGGCAAGUCACUUUACUCGUACCGUAAUGCAUGAUCCCGUGACCAGACACUUGGUCACUUUGAGCUCAUAAUGAUGAUGCAUUACCGAGUGGGCCCAGUGAUACCUCUCUGUCAUACGGAGUGACAAAUCCAAGUCUUGAUCCGUGUCAACCCAACAGACACUUUCGGAGAUACCCGUAGUAUACCUUUAUGGUCACCCAGUUACGUUGUGACGUUUGGUACACCCAAAGCACUCCUACAGUAUCCAGGAGUUACACGAUCUCAUGGUCCAAGGAAAAGAUACUUGACAUUGAAAAACUCUAGCAAACGAACUAUAUGAUCUUGUGCUAUGUUUAGGAUUGGGUCUUGUCCAUCACAUCAUUCUCCUAAUGAUGUGAUCUCGUUAUCAAUGACAUCCAAUGUCCAUAGUCAGGAAACCAUGACUAUCUGUUGAUCAACGAGCUAGUCAACUAGAGGCUUACUAGGGACAUUUGGUGUCUAUUUAUUCACGCGUGUAUUACGAUUUCCGAAUAACACAAUUAUAGCAUGAAUAAAAGACAAUUAUCAUGAACAAGGAAAUAUAAUAAUAAUGCUUUUAUUAUUGCCUCUAGGGCAUAUUUCCAACAGUUCCUUGUUGGAACAUGGAGAUGUUGUUCCUUGUUUGGAACAUGUUUACUUGUUGGGAUAUCACAAUACCUCUUAUUUAAUUAAUGCAUCUAUAUACUUGGUAAAGGGUGGAAGGCUCGGCCUUAUGCCUGGUGUUUUGUUCCACUCUUGCCGCCCUAGUUUCCGUCAUAUCGGUGUUAUGUUCCCGGUUUUUGCGUUCCUUACGCGGUUGGGUAAUAAUGGGAACCCCUUGAUAGUUCGCCUUGAAUAAAACUCCUCCAGCAAGGCCCAACUUUGGUUUUACCAUUUGCACUUCUUUAUUUUAAACCCCCCCAGGCCAGUGCUCCUCUGAGUGUUGGUCCGAAACGGGCAGCCUGUGGGGCCACCUCGGGGCAACUCAAGGGUUGGUUUUACUCGUAGCUUGACCUAUCCGGUGUGCCCUGAGAACGAGAUAUGUGCAGCUCCUAUCGGGAUUUGUCGGCGCAUCGGGCGGCUUUGUUGGUCUUGUUUUACCAUUGUCGAAAUGUCUUAUAACCGGGAUUCCGAGUCUGAUCGGGUCUUCCUGCUAGAAGGAAUAUCCUUCGUUGACUGUGAGAGCUUGUGAUGGGCUAAGUUGGGACACCCCUGCAGGGAUUUGAACUUUCGAAAGCCGUGCCCACGGUUAUGGGCAGAUGGGAAUUUGUUAACGUCCGGUUGUAGAAAACCUGAAGUUGACCUUAAUUAAAAUAUAUCAACCGUGUGUGUAACCAUGAUGGUCUCUUCUCGGCGGAGUCCGGGAAGUGAACACGGUGUUGGAGUUAUGCUUGACAUAGGUUGUUCUAGGAUCACUUCUUGAUCAUACUUUUAUCGACCGUGCUUUGCCUUCUCUUCUCACUCUCAUUUGCGUAUGUUAGCCACCAUAUAUGCUAGUCGCUUGCUGCAGCUCCACCUCAUACCUUUACCGUACCCAUAAGAUUAAAUAGUCUUGAUCGCGAGGGUGUGAGAUUGCUGAGUCCCCGUGGCUCACAGAUACUUCCAAAACCAGCUUGCAGGUGCCGAUGAGUCCGUGCAGAUGACGCAACCAAGCUCAGGAGGAGCUCGAUGAAGAUCUUGUCCUUUGUGUUGUUUUGUUCUAGUGGAUCAGUAGUGGAGCCCAGUUGGGGUCGAUCGGGGACCUUGUCGCAUUUGGGGUUCUUCUUUUAUUUUAGUUCAAUAGUUGGACCUUGAUUGUAUUUGGAUGUUGUAAUGAUUUAUUCAUGUAUUUGUGUGAAGUGGCGAUUGUAAGCCAACUAUGUAUCUUUUCCCUUAUGUAUUACAUGGGUUGUGUGAAGAUUACCUCACUUGCGACAUUGCUUUCAAUGCGGUUAUGCCUCUAAGUCGUGCUUCGACACGUGGGAGAUAUAGCCGCAUCGAGGGCGUUACAAGUUGGUAAUCAGAGUCUUCCCCGACCUUAGGAGCCCCAUUGCUUGAUCGAAUUAGCGGACGAGUUGAGUCUAGAAAAAAUGUUUUGAGUCAUUUAGGAAUUAUAUAUCGGAGAGUUUAGGAAUUCUUUUUACUCCCCAGUCUCCUCAUCGCUCUGGUAAGGCAUCCUGACGUAGAGUUUUGACUCUUCUCUUCUCAAAUUUCACUAAAAAAUUUAGGAUCACGCGGGUAUCUUGGAAUCGUUCCGAUGGUUUUGUGACGAGAACAUUGCUCUUGGUGCCUCCUGUCUUUAGGGGUUGUGGCAGUGUCCCGGGGAGUAGAGCUCCGAGGUGUUGUCGUCACAAUUUUAUCAUUGCAGUUCUGGAAUACCUGAGUUUAGUACGCCGACAUCGAAAAUCUCUUUUAUGCAGUUGUUGGUGAGAUAACCUCGACGCCACCCAGUACUAGGGCGGGAGUUCGGGAGUAUUGCCAUAACUUGUAUAACGGAUGCUUUUCGAAGGUUGAGGUAGAUGAUUUCUGAAGGUUUCUUGGUUAUGUGUUGAAGGAUGGAUACAACUGGAUGUAGGAUUUGUUAGUUUUGGGUGAGAUAUUAUGCUUCCCCUGUAUCCCCAACACCUGAUUGCAUAACCGGAAAAAUUUCGGGAGUUGAUAAGUGGGAAUUCAAGUAGUUCGUAGGAUAUCUUUCUAACAUAUGUAUGAUAUGAAAUUGGGGUUCGAUGUCUAGUGGUCCGCCUAUUCACGGUCGGUUUUACAGUGGUCUCGUUGUGUCUUAAAGAGUCCUUGGCUAUGCCGACUCGGGGACGCUUCGUAUGUCAUGUGCACUGCCUUGUACAUGAUGGUGUUGUACGAACGAGCCCGUGUAGGGGCCACCACGAAAACUUCAAACGAAAUCUCUAUCAUAUGUUUGUUCCGGCUUAUUCUGCAAGCCAAUCCUUUGUUUUGUUUUGAGUUGUGGUAUUCGAGUUGCUUCAAUGUCAAGUGUUGAUUCCAUACCUACCCCAAGCGGUGUUCUCAUAUUCCUAUGUGAAUACUAAUCCCUCAUGAUAAUCGAGAUUGUCAUGUCAAUCCUUUUCAACUGGUGUGGCUCUCUUCAAGUGGAUCUGAUCAUUUCAACAUCCGCAAGAUCAAUUCUAAGUUUCUCAACGGUGUUCGUUUCAUCCAUUCCAAAUUGUCUUUGUUUUUCCCACCCUCCCUCCCUUAUUUUUCUUCAAGGACUCAGAUUUCGUAAUCAAGUGUCCAUCCUAUUCAUGUGAAGUCUCUUCAUUCUUUUCUUUCAAUAUUCUUAUCCAAUGAUUCUCAUGAAGAUUCUAAUGGAGCUUCAAGUUCGUCAUUCCUCAUUCCUUUUCUUCUCCGGUGGAUUCAAAUCAAGCUUUGGUGUUGAUCAUAUCCUUUUUCCUCAUUUCAAAUACCUUCUCAUGCCGGUGCACCUCAUAUUCAUUCACUUCUCACUAUUCAAUUGUUCCGGAGUGCUGAAGAUAUCUCGAAGAUUCGUGUUUUCCACUCUACAUUCGUUCAAGCUCUUUCGAGGAUGUUAUCUCACUCAAGUCAUCUAAUUCAACCGGUGCUUUCUCCUUUUCAAGUAAAUCAUUCAACGGUGUUUUCUUUUGAGUGGGCCCUAACCCACAGGUUUUUUCCCAGGAUCAUACCCGACUCUUCUUAUUUUCCCGGAGCUAUCCUCAAAUUUCUUUUUGAAGUUUGACGUAAGAAUGAUUUAUCAUCAGUCAAAUGCUUUUCUCCAAGAUCUGUCGAAUUCUUUUCAUCGUUGGCUCAACCUCUUCGUUUUGAUUCUUCUGGAGUGUCUAAAGAAUUCUUGGUGGUGUUUCUCGUCGUCAUUCUCAACACUUCAAGACCGAAGAAGAGUUUCUCUUCAAUCUUAUCCGUUCUCUCAAAGAUUCGUGAUUCUAGCUUGUUGCCAUCCUCUCGUAAUUGUUUUGAUCAUGAGUAUUCUUUCACCUAUCCGGUGUAAUCAAAAGUCUUUUCAGUUUGAUUCCCCGAAGGCCAUCAUUUCGGGUUUAUUCAUUCUCAACUGUUAGUUAUCAUUCUCCAAUCUUACCGGUGCAUCGUUCAAGUGAUCUUUAAUCGGCUCGUGAUCUCUUUGUUCUCAUGUAUCUAAAUCCUCUCAAGCAUCUUCGUGUAUUUGCUAAUUCUUCCCGGUGUUUAUUUAUGUUUUAUUCAUUCUUCCUCAAUUCUUACGGUGGUUCGUUUAAGAGUUUUCUUCCUUCGUGUAUCAUAUCUAUGCAUUCGUGCUUUUCAAAUUCUACCAGUGGUUCGUUGAAGACUUUCUCAAGUUUGCGCUAUAUCUCUCUUAAUCUUUCUAUGAGGAUAAGUAGUAUGCCAAAUCCGUUGCUUGUCAGCAAUUAAAUUGUUGAAGAAUACGCAUAACAUAAUUCUUAUUCUUGUUCCAUCCAAGUGAUUAAUUCCUUUUUUCCGGAGUGGUUCAUCAUAUCAUAUUCUCAGUUCGAGAUGCCUUGUCUUUUCUUUCCCGGAGUUCCAAGCUCUAAUUAUCACGGAUAUCCAUCUAAAUCAUUGCAAGGAUUCACCUUGUGUUUUCAAUUUCUCUUUCUUUUUAUCCUUUUGUUUACCGGAGCUCGAUCCCGAUUGGAUCGAGGCCCUUCCUCCUCCCUUGUCUCAGCAGGAGCCCGAGUCUUCGCCUUGUGCCACGUCACCGCCGGCAAGCUUCGCCGGAGAUGAGCACCGACGCCCCCUUCUUCUCCUUCCCAUGCUCCUCUCGUUUCCCUCUCUGAACCCUUUGCUUUCUGCCCAUCUGCUGCAGGAGCAGCUACGCCCUGGGAAGGAGCACGCCAGGCGCCAUGGCCGCCGAAGGGACUUCGCCGCCUCACUGAAUCCACGCCUCCACCUCUCCCCUGCGUCAAGGUCGCCAUGAAGGAAAUAUGCCCUAGAGGCAAUAAUAAAGUUAUUAUUUAUUUCCAUAUAAUCAUGAUAAAUGUUUAUUAUUCAUGCUAGAAUUGUAUUAACAGGAAACUUAAUACAUGUGUGAAUACAUAGACAAACAAAGUGUCACUAGUAUGCCUCUACUUGACUAGCUCGUUAAUCAAAGAUGGUUAUGUUUCCUAACCAUGAACAAUGAGUUGUUAUUUGAUUAACGGGAUCACAUCAUUAAGAGAAUGAUCUGAUUGACAUGACCCAUUCCAUUAGCUUAGCACCCGAUCGUUUAGGAUGUUGCUAUUGCUUUCUUCAUGACUUAUACAUGUUCCUAUAACUAUGAGAUUAUGCAACUCCCGUUUACCGGAGGAACACUUUGGGUACUACCAAACGUCACAACGUAACUGGGCGAUUAUAAAGGAGUACUACAGGUGUCUCCAAAGGUACAUGUUGGGUUGGCGUAUUUCGAGAUUAGGUUUUGUCACUCCGAUUGUCGGAGAGGUAUCUCUGGGCCCUCUCGGUAAUGCACAUCACUUAAGCCUUACAAGCAUUGCAACUAAAUGAGUUAGUUGCGGGAUGAUGUAUUAUAGAACGACUAAAGAGACUUGCCGGCAACGAGAUUGAACUAGGUAUUGGAAUACCGAUGAUCGAAUCUCGGGCAAGUAACAUACCGAUGACAAAGGGAACGACGUAUGUUGUUAUGCGGUCUGACCGAUAAAGAUCUUCAUAGAAUAUGUAGGAGCCAAUAUGGGCAUCCAGGUCCCGCUAUUGGUUAUUGACUGGAGACAUGUCUCGGUCAUGUCUACAUUGUUCUCGAACCCGUAGGGUCCGCACGCUUAAGGUUACGAUGAUAGUUAUAUUAUGAGCUUAUGCAUUUUGAUGUACCGAAGGUUGUUCGGAGUCCCGGAUGUGAUCACGGACAUGACGAGGAGUCUCGAAAUGGUCGAGACAUAAAGAUUGAUAUAUUGGAAGCCUAUGUUUGGAUAUCGGAAGUGUUCCGGGUGAAAUCAGGAUUUUACCGGAGUACCGGGAGGUUACCGGAACCCCCCGGGAGCUAAAUGGGCCAUGAUGAGCCUUAGUGGAAAAGAGAAGAGGCAGCCCUACAUGGGCCGCGCGCCCCUCCCCUCCCUUGGUCCGAAUAGGACAAGGAGAGGGGGCCGGCCCCUCUCUCUCUUUUCCCCCCUCCGCGAAUCCUAUUCCAACUAGGAUUGGGGGGGGGGGAAUCCUACUCCCAGAGGGAGUAGGACUCUCCUGGCGCGCCCUCCUUGGCCGGCCAGCCUCCCCCCUUUAGUCCUUUAUAUACGGAGGCAGGGGCACCCCAGAAACACACAAGUUGAUCCACGUGAUCUAUCCCUUAGCCGUGUGCGGCGCCCCCAGCCACCAUAGUCCUCGAUAAUAUUGUAGCGGAGUUUAGGCGAAGCCCUGCUGUUGUAGUACAUCAAGAUCGUCACCACGCCGUCGUGCUGACGGAACUCUUCCCCGACACUUUGCUGGAUCGGAGUCCGGGGAUCGUCAUCGAGCUGAACGUGUGCUAGAACUUGGAGGUGACGUAGUUUCGGUGCUUGAUCGGUCGGAUCGUGAAGACGUACGACUACAUCAACCAAACGCUUCCGUUGUCGAUCUACUAGGUAUGUAGAUCAUACUCCCCCUCUCGUUGCUAUGCAUCACCAUGAUCUUGCGUGUGCGUAGGAAAUUUUUUGAAAUUACUACGAAACCCAACAGUGGUAUCAGAGCCUAGGUUUUAUAUGUUGAUGUUAUAUGCACGAGUAGAACACAAGUGAGUUAUGGGCGAUAUAAGUCAUACUGCCUACCAGCAUGUCAUACUUUGGUUCGGCGGUAUUGUUGGAUGAAGCGGCCCAGACCGACAUUACGCGUACGCUUACGCGAGACCGGUUCUCCCGACGUGCUUUGCACAGAUGUGGCUUGUGGGUGACAGUUUCUCCAACUUUAGUUGAACCAAGUAUGGCUACGCCCGGUCCUUGCAAAGGUUAAAACGGAGUCAAAUUGACAAACUAUCGUUGUGGUUUUGAUGCGUAGGUGAGAUUGGUUCUUACUUAAGCCCAUAGCAGCCACGUAAAACUUGCAACAACAAAGUAGAGGACGUCUAACUUGUUUUUGCAGGGCAUGUUGUGAUGUGAUAUGGUCAAGACAUGAUGCUGAAUUUUAUUGUAUGAGAUGAUCAUGUUUUGUAACCGAGUUAUCGGCAACCGGCAGGAGCCAUAUGGUUCUCGCCUUAUUGUAUGCAAUGCAAUCGCGAUGUAAUGCUUUACUUUAUCACUAAACGGUAGCGAUAGUCGUGGAAGCACAAGCUUGGCGAGACGACAACGAUGCUACGAUGGAGAUUAAGGUGUCACGCCGAUGACGAUGGUGAUCACGACGGUGCUUCGGAGAUGGAGAUCACAAGCACAAGAUGAUGAUGGCCAUAUCAUAUCACUUAUAUUGAUUGCAUGUGAUGUUUAUCUUUUAUGCAUCUUAUCUUGCUUUGAUUGACGGUAGCAUUAUAAGAUGAUCUCUCACUAAAUUAUAAAGAAGUGUUCUCCCCGAGUAUGCACCGUUGCGAAAGUUCUUCGUGCUGAGACACCACGUGAUGAUCGGGUGUGAUAGGUUCUACGUUCAAAUACAACGGGUGCAAAACAGUUGCACACGCGGAAUACUCAGGUUAUACUUGACGAUCCAAGCAUAUACAGAUAUGGCCUCGGAACACGGAGACCGAAAGGUCGAGCGUGAAUCAUAUAGUAGAUAUGAUCAACAUAAUGAUGUUCACCAAUGAAACUACUCCAUCUCACGUGAUGAUCGGAUAUGGUUUAGUUGAUUUGGAUCACGUAAUCACUUAGAGGAUUAGAGAGAUGUCUAUCUAAGUGGGAGUUCUUUAAGUAAAUUAACUGAACUUAAAUUUAUCAUGAAACUUAGUACCUGAUAAGUAUCUUGCUCGUUUAUGCUGGUUUGUAGAUAGAUGGCUCGUGCUGUUGUUCCGUUGAAUUUUAAUGCGUUCCUUGAGAAAGCAAAGUUGAAAGAUGAUGGUAGCAAUUACACGGACUGGGUCCGUAACUUGAGGAUUAUCCUCAUUGCUGCACAGAAGAAUUACGUCCUGGAAGCACCGCUGGGUGCCAGGCCUGCUGCAGGAGUAACGCCGGAUGUUAUGAACGUCUGGCAGAGCAAAGCUAAUGACUACUCGAUAGUUCAGUGUGCCAUGCUUUACGGCUUAGAAUCGGGACUUCAACGACGUUUUGAACGUCAUGGAGCAUAUGAGAUGUUCCAGGAGUUGAAGUUAAUAUUUCAAGCAAAUGCCCGGAUUGAGAGAUAUGAAGUCUCCAAUAAGUUCUAUAGCUGCAAGAUGGAAGAGAACAGUUCUGUUAGUGAGCAUAUACUCAAAAUGUCUGGGUAUAAUAAUCACUUGAUUCAAUUGGGAGUUAAUCUUCCAGAUGAUUGCGUCAUUGACAGAAUUCUCCAAUCACUGCCACCAAGCUACAAUAGCUUCGUGAUGAACUAUAAUAUGCAAGGGAUGAAUAAGACUAUUCCCGAGCUCUUCAUGAUGCUGAAAGCUGCGGAGGUAGAAAUCAAGAAGGAGCAUCAAGUGUUGAUGGUCAACAAGACCACUAGUUUCAAGAAAAAGGGCAAAGGGAAGAAGAAGGGGAAUUUCAAAAAGAACGGCAAGAAAGUUGCUACUCAAGAGAAGAAACCCAAACCUGGACCUAAGCCUGAAACUGAGUGCUUCUAUUGCAAGCAGACUGGUCACUGGAAGCGGAACUGCCCCAAGUAUUUGGCGGAUAAGAAGGAUGGCAAGGUGAACAAAGGUAUAUGUGAUAUACAUGUUAUUGAUGUGUACCUUACUAAUGCUCGCAGUAGCACCUGGGUAUUUGAUACUGGUUCUGUUGCUAAUAUUUGCAACUCGAAACAGGGACUACGGAUCAAGCGAAGAUUGGUUAAGGACGAGGUGACGAUGCGCGUGGGAAACGGUUCCAAAGUUGAUGUGAUCGCAGUCGGCACGCUACCUCUACAUCUACCUUCGGGAUUAGUAUUAGACCUAAAUAAUUGUUAUUUGGUGCCAGCGUUAAGCAUGAACAUUAUAUCUGGAUCUUGUUUGAUGCGAGACGGUUAUUCAUUUAAAUCAGAGAAUAAUGGUUGUUCUAUUUAUAUGAGUAAUAUCUUUUAUGGUCAUGCACCCUUGAAGAGUGGUCUAUUCUUGUUGAAUCUCGAUAGUAGUAACACACACAUUCAUAAUGUUGAAGCCAAAAGAUGCAGAGUUGAUAAUGAGAGUGCAACUUAUUUGUGGCACUGCCGUUUAGGUCAUAUCGGUGUAAAGCGCAUGAAGAAACUCCAUACUGAUGGACUUUUGGAAUCACUUGAUUACGAAUCACUUGGUACUUGCGAACCGUGCCUCAUGGGCAAGAUGACUAAAACGUCGUUCUCCGGUACUAUGGAGAGAGCAACAGAUUUGUUGGAAAUCAUACAUACAGAUGUAUGUGAUCCGAUGAAUAUUGAGGCUCGUGGCGGAUAUCGUUAUUUUCUCACCUUCACAGAUGAUUUAAGCAGAUAUGGGUAUAUCUACUUAAUGAAACAUAAUUCUGAAACAUUUGAAAAGUUCAAGGAAUUUUAGAGUGAAGUUGAAAAUCAUCGUAACAAGAAAAUAAAGUUUCUACGAUCUGAUCGUGGAGGAGAAUCUUUGAGUUAUGAGUUUGGUGUACAUUUGAAAAAUUGUGGAAUAGUUUCGCAACUCACGCCACCCGGAACACCUCAGCAUAAUGGUGUGUCCGAACGUCGUAAUCGUACUUUACUGGAUAUGGUGCGAUCUAUGAUGUCUCUUACUGAUUUACCGCUAUCGUUUUGGGGAUACGCUCUAGAAACGGCCGCAUUCACGUUAAAUAGGGCACCAUCAAAAUCCGUUGAGACGACGCCUUAUGAACUGUGGUUUGGCAAGAAACCAAAGUUGUCGUUUCUGAAAGUUUGGGGCUGCGAUGCUUAUGUGAAAAAGCUUCAACCUGAUAAGCUCGAACCCAAAUCGGAGAAAUGUGUCUUCAUAGGAUAUCCAAAGGAAGCUAUCGGAUACACCUUCUAUCACAGAUCCGAAGGCAAGACUUUUGUUGCUAAAUUCGGAAACUUUCUGGAGAAGGAGUUUCUCUCGAAAGAAGUGAGUGGGAGGAAAGUAGAACUUGACGAGGUAACUGUACCUGCUCCCUUAUUGGAAAGUAGUACAUCACAGAAAACUGUUUCUAUGACACCUACACCAGUUAGUGAGGAAGCUAAUGAUGAUGAUCAUGAAACUUCAGAACAAGAUACUACUGAACCUCGUAGAUCAACCAGAGUAAGAUCCGCACCAGAGUGGUAUGGUAAUCCCGUUCUGGAAGUCAUGCUACUAGAUCAUGAUGAACCUACGAACUAUGAAGAAGCAAUGGUCAGCCUAGAUUCCGCAAAGUGGCUUGAAGCCAUGAAAUCUGAGAUGGGAUCCAUGUAUGAGAACAAAGUAUGGACUUUGGUUGACUUUCCUGAUGAUCGCCAAGCAAUUGAGAAUAAAUGGAUCUUCAAGAAGAAGACUGACGCUGACGGUAAUAUUACUGUCUACGAAGCUCGACUUGUCGCAAAAGGUUUUCGGCAAGUUCAAGGGAUUGACUACGAUGAGACCUUCUCACCCGUAGCGAUGCUUAAGUCUGUCCGAAUCAUGUUAGCAAUUGCCGUAUUUUAUGAUUAUGAAAUUUGGCAGAUGGAUGUCAAAAUUGCAUUCCUGAAUGGAUUUCUGGAAGAAGAGUUGUAUAUGAUGCAACCAGAAGGUUUUGUCGAUCCAAAGGGAGCUAACAAAGUGUGCAAGCUCCAGCGAUCCAUUUAUGGACUGGUGCAAGCCUCUCGGAGUUGGAAUAAACGCUUUGAUAGUGUGAUCAAAGCAUUUGGUUUUAUACAGACAUUUGGAGAAGCCUGUAUUUACAAGAAAGUGAGUGGGAGCUCUGUAGCAUUUCUGAUAUUAUAUGUAGAUGACAUAUUACUAAUUGGAAAUGAUAUAGAAUUUCUGAAUAGCAUAACGGGAUACUUGAAUAAGAGUUUUUCAAUGAAAGACCUCGGUGAAGCUGCUUACAUAUUAGGCAUUAAGAUCUAUAGAGAUAGAUCAAAACGCUUAAUUGGACUUUCACAAACCACAUACCUUGACAAAAUUUUGAAGAAGUUCAAAAUGGAUCAAGCAAAGAAAGGGUUCUUGCCUGUGUUACAAGGUGUGAAGUUGAGUAAGACUCAAUGCCCGACCACUGCAGAAGAUAGAGAGAAUAUGAAAGAUGUUCCCUAUGCAUCAGCCAUAGGAUCUAUCAUGUAUGCAAUGCUGUGUACCAGACCUGAUGUGUGCCUUGCUAUAAGUCUAGCAGAGAGGUACCAAAGUAAUCCAGGAGUGGAUCACUAGACAGCGGUCAAGAACAUCCUGAAAUACCUGAAAAGGACUAAGGAUAUGCUUCUCGUAUAUGGAGGUGACAAAGAGCUCAUCGUAAAAGGUUAUGUUGAUGCAAGCUUUGACACUGAUCCGGACGAUUCUAAAUCGCAAACCGGAUACGUGUUUACAUUAAACGGUGGGGCUGUAAGUUGGUGCAGUUCUAAACAAAGCGUUGUAGCAGGAUCUACAUGUGAAGCGGAGUACAUAGCUGCUUCGGAAGCAGCAAAUGAAGGAGUCUGGAUGAAGGAGUUCAUAUCCGAUCUAGGUGUCAUACCUAGUGCAUCGGGUCCAAUGAAAAUCUUUUGUGACAAUACUGGUGCAAUUGCCUUGGCAAAGGAAUCCAGAUUUCACAAGAGAACCAAGCACAUCAAGAGACGCUUCAAUUCCAUCCGGGAUCUAGUCCAGGUGGGAGACAUAGAGAUUUGCAAGAUACAUACGGAUCUGAAUAUUGCAGACCCGUUGACUAAGCCUCUUCCACGAGCAAAACAUGAUCAGCACCAAGGCUCCAUGGGUGUUAGAAUCAUUACUAUGUAAUCUAGAUUAUUGACUCUAGUGCAAGUGGGAGACUGAAGGAAAUAUGCCCUAGAGGCAAUAAUAAAGUUAUUAUUUAUUUCCUUAUAAUCAUGAUAAAUGUUUAUUAUUCAUGCUAGAAUUGUAUUAACAGGAAACUUAAUACAUGUGUGAAUACAUAGACAAACAAAGUGUCACUAGUAUGCCUCUACUUGACUAGCUCGUUAAUCAAAGAUGGUUAUGUUUCCUAACCAUGAACAAUGAGUUGUUAUUUGAUUAACGGGAUCACAUCAUUAAGAGAAUGAUCUGAUUGACAUGACCCAUUCCAUUAGCUUAGCACCCGACCGUUUAGUAUGUUGCUAUUGCUUUCUUCAUGACUUAUACAUGUUCCUAUAACUAUGAGAUUAUGCAACUCCCGUUUACCGGAGGAACACUUUGGGUACUACCAAACGUCACAACGUAACUGGGUGAUUAUAAAGGAGUACUACAGGUGUCUCCAAAGGUACAUGUUGGGUUGGCGUAUUUUGAGAUUAGGUUUUGUCACUCCGAUUGUCGAAGAGGUAUCUCUGGGCCCUCUCGGUAAUGCACAUCACUUAAGCCUUGCAAGCAUUGCAACUAAAUGAGUUAGUUGCGGGAUGAUGUAUUACAGAACGAGUAAAGAGACUUGCCGGCAACGAGAUUGAACUAGGUAUUGGAAUACCGACGAUCGAAUCUCGGGCAAGUAACAUACCGAUGACAAAGGGAACGACGUAUGUUGUUAUGCGGUCUGACCGAUAAAGAUCUUCGUAGAAUAUGUAGGAGCCAAUAUGGGCAUCCAGGUCCCGCUAUUGGUUAUUGACUGGAGACAUGUCUCGGUCAUGUCUACAUUGUUCUCGAACCCGUAGGGUCCGCACGCUUAAGGUUACGAUGACAGUUAUAUUAUGAGUUUAUGCAUUUUGAUGUACCGAAGGUUGUUCGGAGUCCCGGAUGUGAUCACGGACAUGACGAGGAGUCUCGAAAUGGUCGAGACAUAAAGAUUGAUAUAUUGGAAGCCUAUGUUUGGAUAUCGGAAGUGUUCCGGGUGAAAUCGGGAUUUUACCGGAGUACCGGGAGGUUACCGGAACCCCCCGGGAGCUAAAUGGGCCAUGAUGGGCCUUAGUGGAAAAGAGAAGAGGCAGCCCUACAUGGGCCGCGCGCCCCUCCCUUCCCUUGGUCCGAAUAGGACAAGGAGAGGGGGUCGGCCCCUCUCUCUCUUUUCCCCCCUCCGCGAAUCCUAUUCCAACUAGGAUUGGGGGGGGGGGGGAAUCCUACUCCCAGAGGGAGUAGGACUCUCCUGGCGCGCCCUCCUUGGCCGGCCAGCCACCCCCCUUUAGUACUUUAUAUACGGAGGCAGGGGCACCCCAGAAACACACAAGUUGAUCCACGUGAUCUAUCCCUUAGCCGUGUGCGGCGCCCCCAACCACCAUAGUCCUCGAUAAUAUUGUAGCGGAGUUUAGGCGAAGCCCUGCUGUUGUAGUACAUCAAGAUCGUCACCACGCCGUCGUGNNNNNNNNNNNNNNNNNNNNNNNNNNNNNNNNNNNNNNNNNNNNNNNNNNNNNNNNNNNNNNNNNNNNNNNNNNNNNNNNNNNNNNNNNNNNNNNNNNNNNNNNNNNNNNNNNNNNNNNNNNNNNNNNNNNNNNNNNNNNNNNNNNNNNNNNNNNNNNNNNNNNNNNNNNNNNNNNNNNNNNNNNNNNNNNNNNNNNNNNNNNNNNNNNNNNNNCAGUAGUACAUCAAGAUCGUCACCACGCCGUCGUGCUGACGGAACUCUUCCCCGACACUUUGCUGGAUCGGAGUCCGGGGAUCGUCAUCGAGCUGAACGUGUGCUAGAACUCGGAGGUGCCGUAGUUUCGGUGCUUGAUCGGUCGGAUCGUGAAGACGUACGACUACAUCAACCAAACGCUUCCGUUGUCGAUCUACUAGGUAUGUAGAUCAUACUCCCCCUCUCGUUGCUAUGCAUCACCAUGAUCUUGCUUGUGCGUAGGAAAAAUUUUGAAAUUACUACGAAACCCAACACGCCAUCCCUGCCGGACCUGCAGGACGCCAAGUCCAACGCCAUGGGCGCCUCCUCUGCCCGACCCCGUCUCUGUCUUGACUUCGCCGUGCUCCUCCCCUGCCCCAAGCCUCUGCCGCGACCAGCACCCGACCAGUAGGUCACCAGUGCGCCCGAGUCCUCCUGCCUCGCUCGUUCUGGACCAGGAGGGUCCCGGUCAUCUCCGUUGUCGCCGUCUCAGUUGAGCGCCGCCCUGGUUCCCUUUCUCGCCUUCCUCCGGUCCCCUCAUCUCAUCUCCCUCUCUCUGAUUUGUGUGGCACCGCCGCCGUUUUGCAGAGAAACUGCCGCCAUGGAGCUCCAACUCCGGCCACCUCGUCUCCUCGGAUCCGUCGGGUCCCGACCAUCCCCUUCGUUGCCGGACUCCUCAGCUAGCCGGAGCCCCGUUGCCGCGCCGUCCGUCUUCUACAUCGCCAUGGCCUGCUGUUGUUUCUGUUCUUCAGAAACGAAACGAGAGCAGCAGUGGCUCGCUCGUUCGAGCGUUGACCGUGGCCUGCCCAGCUCCUUCGCCUCCUGGGCCACCAGCUACCGCCCCAAGCCGGCCUGCUUCCUUCCCGAUCCGAGCUGGCCCAGUCAAGCCCGAUGUGAGCAGCUCCCCAGCCCCUCUCAGUUUUGGCCCGAGUCACUAUUUUUUUCCUGCGAACGAUUUGUCUAUUUAUCCUGAGAGUGACAAAAUUGCAGUAAAGCCCUCAAACUUCAUGCAUUUUAUUACUCACAAACAGUGCAUCAUAUUAAAACAAACUUAAUAUGAAAGUUGCUUAGAAUUUUGUCUAGUUUCAUAAUAUGCAACUUUAACCCAUGUUUAAAAUGCUUAAAAUGUUGUUUGACUAAUUUUUGCUCAUAUGCCAUGUUAAAAUGAUUUAAUUCAUAACUAAAUAACCGUAACUCGGAUUUUAUUAAACCUUAUAUGUAAAUGGGGUAGAAAAAUGCCUAGUUUAACAUGGUGCACUCACCUAGCAUGUUUAACAACUCUAAAAUUAUGUUUAGGGAAGAAUAGUAACAAACCUAAUAUAUGCAUAUGAGGAGUUUUCGGACUUGUUGUUUUGUUGUUCCGACCUCAUUUAAACUUGCCUAGAUUAGAUAGUUUCAUCAUGUUUCACCUCUUGCCAUGCUAACAACAUUUAAUCUUGUUGAGUACAUAAAACGAGAGAGAACUAAAUAAGGCAUGUGGUGUUCCGUCAAUAUGCAACUCGUUGCAUAUUGAGCUCCACUUAACUUGUAGUGUUGUUUGUGCACUUUGCCAUGCCAUGCCUCUUUAAACCGGACAUGCAUCAUACUUGAUUGUGCAUCAUGACAUGAUUAUGUGAUGGUUGUUUACUAUAUCGUGUGCUUCUUUCCGGUGUUGCUUCUUCGGGUUGGUUCCGAUAACGUCGUGUUGUGAGGACCCGUUCGACUACGUCCGUUUGUCUUCUUCAUGGACUCGUUCUUCUUCCUUGCGGGAUUUCAGGCAAGAUGACCAUACCCUCGAAAUCACUUCUAUCUUUGCUUGCUAGUUGCUCGCUCUUUUGCUAUGCCUAUGUUGCGAUACCUACCACUUGUUUAUCAUGCCUCCUAUAUUGUUGAACCAAGCCUCUAACCCACCUUGUCCUAGCAAACCGUUGUUUGGCUAUGUUACCGCUUUGCUCAGCCCCUCUUAUAGCGUUGUUAGUUGCAGGUGAAGAUUGAAGUUUGUUCCUUGUUGGAACAUGGAGAUGUUGUUCCUUGUUUGGAACAUGUUUACUUGUUGGGAUAUCACAAUACCUCUUAUUUAAUUAAUGCAUCUAUAUACUUGGUAAAGGGUGGAAGGCUCGGCCUUAUGCCAGGUGUUUUGUUCCACUCUUGCCGCCCUAAUUUGCGUCAUAUCGGUGUUAUGUUCCCGGUUUUUGCGUUCCUUACGCGGUUGGGUAAUAAUGGGAACCCCUUAACAGUUUGCCUUGAAUAAAACUCCUCCAGCAAGGCCCAACUUUGGUUUUACCAUUUGCACUAACAACCUAUAACCUUUCCUUGGGUUUUCGCGAGCCCGAGGGUCAUAUUUAUUUUAAACCCCCCCCCCUCCCGGGCCAGUGCUCCUCUGAGUGUUGGUCCGAAACGGGCAGCCUGCGGGGCCACCUCGGGGCAACUCGAGGGUUGGUUUUACUCGUAGCUUGACCUAUCCGGUGUGCCCUGAGAACGAGAUAUGUGCAGCUCCUAUCGGGAUUUGUCGGCGCAUCGGGCGGCUUUGCUGGUCUUAUUUUACCAUUGUCGAAAUGUCUUGUAACCGGGAUUCCGAGUCUGAUCGGGUCUUCCCGCUACAAGGAAUAUCCUUCGUUGACCGUGAGAGCUUGUGAUGGGCUAAGUUGGGACACCCCUGCAGGGAUUUGAACUUUUGAAAGUCGUGCCCGCGGUUAUGGGUAGAUGGGAAUUUGUUAACGUCCGGUUGUAGAAAACCUGAAGUUGACCUUAAUUAAAAUACAUCAACCGCGUGUGUAACCGUGAUGGUCUCUUCUCGGCGGAGUCCGGGAAGUGAACACGGUGUUGGAGUUAUGCUUGACGUAGGUUGUUCUAGGAUCACUUCUUGAUCAUACUUUUAUCGACCGUGCUUUGCCUUCUCUUCUCGCUCUCAUUUGCGUAUGUUAGCCACCAUAUAUGCUAGUCGCUUGCUGCAGCUCCACCUCAUACCUUUACCGUACCCAUAAGCUUAAAUAGUCUUGAUCGCGAGGGUGCGAGAUUGCUGAGUCCCCGUGGCUCACAGAUACUUCCAAAACCAGCUUGCAGGUGCCGAUGAGUCCGUGCAGAUGACGCAACCAAGCUCAGGAGGAGCUCGAUGAAGAUCUUGUCCUUUGUGUUGUUUCGUUCUAGUGGAUCAGUAGUGCAGCCCAGUUGGGGUCGAUCGGGGACCUUGUCGCAUUUGGGGUUCUUCUUUUAUUUUGGUUUCGUAGUCGGACCUUGAUUGUAUUUGGAUGUUGUAAUGAUUUAUUCAUGUAUUUGUGUGAAGUGGCGAUUGUAAGCCAACUAUGUAUCUUUUCCCUUAUGUAUUACAUGGGUUGUGUGAAGAUUACCUCACUUGCGACAUUGCUUUCAAUGCGGUUAUGCCUCUAAGUCGUGCUUCGACACGUGGGAGAUAUAGCCGCAUCGAGGGCGUUAUAUUGGAUCACUUGACUGUAUGCAUUAAAGAUGGAAGAACUGUCCUGCAGGGUGGAUGGGUCUGUACAAAGACCACACCGACAAUCCAACGAUCAUUCUUGAGGCAGUUACAACAAAGGAUCUUUGGAUAUAGCAUUCAUUUUUUUGGUUUGCCUGGCUCUCGUAAUGACUUGAAUGUACUGUCGAGAUCACCACUGUUCUCCAAGCUUAUUACAGGAGAUGCUCCUACUUGCAACUACUCGGUCAAUGGGCACAACUACUCGAUGAGUUACUACCUUGCGGAUGGCAUCUAUCCACAAUGGGCCAUUUUGGCCAAAACAAUUUCGUGUUCAAAAGGUAACAAAAAUAUUCACUUUGCUCAAUGUCAAGAAGCUGCUAGGAAAGAUGUGGAGAGAGCCUUCUGUGUGCUACAAAAGCGCUUUGCAAUUGUUCGUGGCCCUGCCGAGUACUGGAGCUCCAAGGUUCUAUGACGGAUCAUGACUUGUUGCACCAAUAUUGCAUAACAUGAUCAUUGAAAACAAGAGGGAUGUGCCUGAGAACUUUCGGCACAUCACCAACGGGACUCCGGUUGAGUCAUAGUAUGAUCCGAAUAGGAUCUUGGCAUUCCUUGAAGGGCAUCGCAAGAUCGAGAACCGACAAGUUCAUGCUCAGCUCCAAGAAGAUCGUAUUGAGCAUCACUGGCAACGUCAUAGCGAAUCCUAAUUGUUCUAUCACAUGUUAUUUGUUACGUUUGGACCAUUCGGUGUGCUUAAAUUUGAAUAAUUUGGUCUGUAAACUAUAUCCAUGAUUUGCUUGAACAUUCAAAUUUAUGUUCGGUUUCUAUAUGUGUGCCAAUAUGUACUUCAUCCGUUCCAAAUUACUCGUCGUGGUUUUAGUAGUUUAAAUUUGAACUAAAACCACGACGAGUAAUUUGGAACGGAGGGAGUAGCUAAUAUGUAGUGGCAAUGUGGCAAUGUAUACUACUACCUCCGUUUCAGUUUAAAAGUCCUAUGCGUAUACCUAGGUUGCCAAUUUUAUCACCUUCAUAUAAACUAUAUAACACAAAAAUUAUACAGUUUGGAAAUAGAACAUCUAAAGUUUAUAUUGGUAUAUUUUUUGUAAUAUAUGACUUGUAUUAGGUUAGUCAAAUUGACGACCUAGGGGCACGCGCACGCCUUGUAAACUGGGAGAGAGGUAGUAGAAUGCAAAGUUUAGAAAAAAGCAAACAUUUACUCCGUUAAAUAUAGGGGAUGAGCUAGGUCCGGCCAAAUCUUAGUGGAGUAAAUAUACUCCAACAAGAGUUUACUCUACCGUAUCCUCCUCUAUUCAUUAGGGAUCGGUUAGAAAUGGCCUUAAGACUCAACCAGUUUGCAGAUAUGGCCCCAGAGGAGAUUAGGAGGCUUUCUAAUCCGAUAUGGAGGUGGCCUGAUUCCUAGCUAGAUUAUUUGGGUUUAAUAAAAUCUGUAUUUCCAGCAUCCGCUACAUGUAUAUAUUGGAGAUCAUCUUGCGCUUCUUUUUGCGGAGGAGUAAAUCGCACUCCUGGUCAACUUGGCACACAUUUUCAGUUUGCCUUUUCUAGUGUAGGGUGAAGACCAUUCACCCUAGAAAUCGUGUAAAUUUUGUAGAUCGUGCAAAUUAAAGCUAGAAAGCUUAAGCAUCCAUUAUGACGAAAUUGGUAGUGUUCGUAGAAGCCAUCAUGCACACAACAUCACUGGAGUGUCAAGGCUACUGACGAGAAUGUAAGAAAUACUGCCAACUGCUGCUGAAACCAUUGAAAUCUCGAGGUGACCGCAGCAGCAACAUCAUCACUGUAUUUAACUGGAACGUACUACUAUAGUACUGUAAAUCUUUGAUCCAGUUUGCUUUUCCUGCGGAUGCAAACCACAAAACCAUACUGUACAACACCCAGAGGUACCCACGCCUAAAAUUUACUGAAGAAGAAAGAAGGACCCCGGAAACGAGAGAAGAUGAUUAUCCAUUAUUCCCAUCACAGGAGCGCGUCGCUGCUGGCGGGACAAGUGGGGGCGAACCGGAGCCGGCCAAAGUCGUCGGCGCUGCCGGCGAGGCGGACGUAAUAGGACCGUGAGGUUGAUGGCGAGUCGCUGCGGGGGAAGGGGCUGUCGCCGGUGGGCGUCCGGCCGCCGUCGAUGUAGUGGAGGAGGAUGGCCCUGUACAGGAACGGCAGCAAGCCUUCCAUGAUCCUUGUGUAUUGUAUAGGGGCACGGAAGGAAAGGAUGGAGGCAACAGAUUGUUUUAUGGGGGUUUAUAAACAGGUUAGUGGAUGAUUACGGCCUUGCUCGGCUUGCGAACUGGAUUAGUCAACGAGAGGACACACUCGUGAUGAUAAUGAUGGCGAUGGGUUGCAUGCGUCUGUUGACGAAAUGAAUUUUGUGAGAGCAAGUUGAUGUCUGCACUUCAAGAGAGGACAAGAUGCAAUUUCAUGUGUUUUUUUUAAUCAGAUGCAAUUUCAUAUGUAUGCGACAGGUAUGGAAUAUUUGAAUAUGCAUGUUCACAAGAACAAAAAAAGAACAAAUCUGUUGGUUCUGGUUCAAGGAAGACCAAUACAAAGAACAGAAUAUAAUACAGAGGUGUGGUUUGAAAACAAAGGACCUCAUGACAUAAUCUAAUGGGGUUUGUUAUGCCUUCCUGUUUCUUAUACGCAAUUGUUAGCAAAGCUUCAAAUUAGGACAUCAACUUAUCGUUACAAAGAUAAAUAUGUACUAUCUCUAAUCCUAUGUCUGGUAGACCAUCCUUCUCAAGCAUCACCCAAACUGAGAAAAUUACGACAAUGACACCCAUCCAAGUAACAAGAAAGAGACACGACACAUGACAAUCAGCCUCUCUUGGAGGAGUUUACAUUUGACACCCAAUAAUGUAACACAUCGUACAACAGUGUAGUAAAGUUCUCGCAUAUAUAUCUGUCCUCUGGCCUUGCUUAAUAAUAACACAUAAUUUAAUCUCCAGAAAGAAUCUUUCUAGCAACAGGUGGUAAAGCCUCUCUACACAAGCUACCUACGGCAGAAGGGCUGGCUCUCUUCGUGUGACACACUUCCUCCGCACAGAGUGGGCGGGGGAUGAUAUUGCUUACAAAAACGGUGUGGCGGUGAUCCAAGGUGUCAUGGAUAGACGUUGCCCCGGUCGGCAAGAUACUAUGAGCUGAGGUGGAAGAUUUGACAGUCCGGUUCGUAGUUGCCCUUGGAAGCAGCCUGCUCAAACUUCUUCAAUGGCCCUUCAUUCUCUGUCAAGCCUGUCUGGAUAAAGUAGCGCGUCCACCAUGAAUUACUCCGCAACUUUGCCUGUCAACAAC